rnacentral:misc_RNA from 1 species
UCUCCGUUGGUGAACCAGCGGAGGGAUCAUUACCGAGUUAUCAACUCCCAAACCCCUGUGAACAUACCCAACGUUGCUUCGGCGGGACCGCCCCGGCGCCCUCGGCGUCCCGGAACCAGGCGCCCGCCGGAGGACCCAAACUCUUGUUUAAACCAUAGUAGCAUAUUCUGAGUCUCACAAGAAAAAUGAAUCAAAACUUUCAACAACGGAUCUCUUGGCUCUG